GAUGGCCACAUUGAAACACAGAUUCUUGUAAGAUCACUGAAGUUAAGCAACAUUAAGUUUGGUCAGUACUUAGAUGGGUGACCACUUGGGAAUACCAGGUGCUAUA